rnacentral:rRNA from 1 species
AGUGAACGCUGGCGGUAUGCCUAACACAUGCAAGUCGAACGGCAGCACAGUAAGAUUUUGCUUUUACGGGUGGCGAGUGGCGGACGGGUGAGGAAUACAUCGGAAUCUACUUUUUCGUGGGGGAUAACGUAGGGAAACUUACGCUAAUACCGCAUACGACCUACGGGUGAAAGCAGGGGAUCAUCGGACCUUGCGCGAUUGAAUGAGCCGAUGUCGGAUUAGCUAGUUGGCGGGGUAAAGGCCCACCAAGGCGACGAUCCGUAGCUGGUCUGAGAGGAUGAUGAGCCACACGGGAAGUGAGACAGGGCCCAGACUCCAAGGGAGGCAGCAGUGGGGAAUAUUGGACAAUGGGCGAAAGCCUGAUCCAGCCAUACCGCGUGGGUGAAGAAGGCCUUCGGGUUGUAAAGCCCUUUUGUUGGGAAAGAAAAGUAGCAGGUUAAUAAGUCGCUGUUGUGACGGUACCUAAAGAAUAAGCACCGGCUAACUUCGUG